GAUGAACGCUGGCGGCGUGCCUAAUACAUGCAAGUCGAACGCUGGAAAUCUAGCUUGCUAGAUUGAAGGAGUGGCGAACGGGUGAGUAAUACAUAAGCAACCUACCCACGAAGACUGGGAUAAUCUCUGGAAACGGGGACUAAUACCGGAUAGGUAAUCGGAAGGCAUCUUCUGAUUAUUAAAGGUUAAAAACACUGGUGGAUGGGCUUAUGGCGCAUUAGUUAGUUGGUGAGGUAACGGCCCACCAAGACGAUGAUGCGUAGCCGGCCUGAGAGGGUGAACGGCCACAUUGGGACUGCGACACGGCCCCGACUCCUACGGGAGGCAGCAGUAGGGAAUUUUCGGCAAUGGGGGAAACCCUGACCGAGCCACGCCGCGUGAGUGAUGACGGCCUUCGGGUUGUAAAGCUCUGUUGUAAGGGAAGAACGGUAGAUAGAGAAUAUCUAAAUGACGGUACCUUACCAGAAAGCCACGGCUAACUACGUG
rnacentral:rRNA from 1 species